AUACGGAGGGUGCAAGCGUUAUUCGGAAUCACUGGGCGUAAAGGACGCGUAGGCGGGUUGGCAAGUCAGAUGUGAAAUCCUACAGCUUAACUGUAGAACUGCAUUUGAAACUGCUAACCUAGAGUAUGGAAGGGGCAGAUGGAAUUAGUGGUGUAGGGGUAAAAUCCGUAGAUAUCACUAGGAAUACCGAAAGCGAAGGCGAUCUGCUGGGACAUUACUGACGCUGAGGCGUGAAAGCGUGGGGAGCAAACAGGAUUAGAAACCCUAGUAGUCC
rnacentral:rRNA from 1 species